GGUUUCCAGUCCCGGCUCAACUCUGAACAGCUGUGUGCUUUGGGACAGGCACCAGUGACCCAACGGGCUUGAGGACAUCCCUCACACCACGUUCAGAUGGCAGGCCGUCACCCCACCCGUGGCUGAGCACGCUGAGUUCAUAGGAGUUUCAAUAAAUCCUGCCAUCAAUCAUCCCGAGAAUUUCACAGUUACAGCAUAUUGCCCGUACUGCAAGUUUUAACGUGUACAAUUUGGGUAAUCACCACUAUGAGGAAGACACGGAACAGCUCCAUCACCCCAAACCUCCCUGUGCAAUUCCCCUACGUUCCCAUCCUGCUCCCAGACCUGACCCCCGGCAACCGCUGCGCCGGCCUUCAGCACUGUGGUUUUGUCUUAGUUUGACUUUUGUGAUUUUUUUCAUUUUAAAAAAUCAUGCACAUGUAUUAUCAAUUAAAAACUAAAUACGUUUUGUUAU